CGCGUAGGCGGCUUCGGAAGUCAUGGGUGAAAGCCCCAGGCUCAACCUGGGAAUUGCCUGUGAAACCACGGAGCUGGAGUGCUGGAGAGGGAAGUGGAAUUCCCAGUGUAGCGGUGAAAUGCGUAGAUAUUGGGAGGAACACCUGUGGCGAAGGCGGCUUCCUGGACAGACACUGACGCUGAGGCGCGAAAGCCAGGGGAGCAAACG
rnacentral:rRNA from 1 species